rnacentral:rRNA from 1 species
UGGGGAAUAUUGCACAAUGGAGGGAACUCUGAUGCAGCGACGCCGCGUGAGUGAUGAAGGAAUUCGUUUCGUAAAACUCUGUUCUAUGGGAAGAAAAGGACUGUACCAUAGGAGAAAGCUCCGGCUAAAUACGUGCCAGCAGCCGCGGUAAUACGUAUGGAGCGAGCGUUGUCCGGAAUUAUUGGGCGUAAAGGGUGCGCAGGCGGCUUUACAAGUUGGAUGUGAAAUAUUGUGGCUCAACCACAAACGUGCAUCCAAAACUGCAAAGCUUGAGUUAAGGAGAGGUAAGUGGAAUUCCUGGUGUAGCGGUGGAAUGCGUAGAUAUCAGGAGGAAUACCGGUGGCGAAGGCGACUUACUGGACUUAAGCUGACGCUAAGGCACGAAAGCGUGAGGAGCAAACAGG